GAGUCAAGUAAUCUUGGUUAAA
rnacentral:miRNA from 1 species